rnacentral:rRNA from 1 species
UUUGACGGCCAAAGCGGCGGGGAUACACCCGGUCCCAUCCCGAACCCGGAAG